ensembl:lncRNA UCA1 urothelial cancer associated 1
GCCUACCCCAGCCCUAUAAAGCUGCCCCUCUCCUAUCUCCCUUCGCUGACUCUCUUUUCAGACUCAGCCCACUUGCACCCAAGUGAAUUAACAGCCUUGUUGCUCACACAAAGCCUGUUUAGGUGGUCUUCUAUACGGACAUGCUUGACACUUGGUGCCAAAAUCUGGGCCAGGGGGACUCCUUCGUGAGACCGGCCCCCUGUCCUGGCCCUCAUUCCGUGAAGAGAUCCACCUGCGACCUCGGGUCCUCAGACCAGCCCAAGGAACAUCUCACCAAUUUCAAAUCGGAUCUCCUCGGCUUAGUGGCUGAAGACUGAUGCUGCCCGAUCGCCUCAGAAGCCCCUUGGACCAUCACAGAUGCCGAGCUUCGGGUAACUCUUACGGUGGAGGGACCCUCUCCAUUGGGUUCACCAUUCCAGAAUAAAGCCAUGCCCAUCAGACAGCCAGCUUGAUCUCUCCUCUUCCUCCUGGAAGCCACAAGAUUAGGCCGAGAGCCGAUCAGACAAACAACCUACAACCCUUAAGCUCCUGGCAGCGCCCAGCCAAGGCCAUGCUUCCUUGCAACACUCCUUCCAAAUGGCCAUCCCAGCAUGCUUCCAAGCAGGCUUCAUCCGUUCCUCUGGACCCUCAUCUCUUAAGACCUGCCGCCUAUAAAAAGGAUUAUAUCUUGAGACCCUAUCCUCUAAAAUUUUUUCCACACCCAAAACAAAAAAUCUCUGGGUCAAAAGUCUAAAACGCUUAGGCUGGCAACCAUCAGAUCCUUGCCCAUGGUGUCCUCAAGCCUACUCUCAUGAAAUGGACAACAGUACACGCAUAUGGGGCCAGUUCCACAUAUUUGGCAACCAGACCAGCAUCCAGGACAACACAAAGAUCUGCAAUCAGAACUAUUGAACUUCUCCAUUCAGACCGCCACUCACACCUAUGGGAAAAGGGUAAUGUAUCAUCGGCUUAGCAACAGGGAAUACUAUUCGUAUGAUGGAAAAUGGGGACAAAAGGCUUUGGUACAUAAAACAUUAUUCCUUCCUUGGCCUAAAAACUCAUCGCCACCUACAUUAAAGCUAAUAUGCCUGAUUACUGUUUUUAGAGAACUUAUUUUAUUAGGGCAGUUCCAAGCUCAAAAAUACGCUAACUGGCACCUUGUUAGCUACAUAAAAAUGCACCCUAGACCCGAAACUUACUAGACUCAUUAUAAAAUUUUCUUUAAGGUGUCCACGCAGUCCCUGGUCACACUUGAAGCAGUCCGGAGAAAUAUCAGCCCUACCCCAGUAAUCCCCAGAAGGAACUUACACUUUUUUUUAAUCUUUUCCUACAACUUCAUAUUUUAUAAAUAAAAAGACAAAAAUGUCAGGCCUGUGAGCUGAAGCUUAGCCAUUGUAACCCCUGUGACCUGCACAUAUCCGUCCAGGUGGCCUGCAGGAGCCAAGAAGUCUGGAGCAGCCGAAAAACCACAAAGAAGUGAAACAGCCAGUUCCUGCCUUAACUAAUUAACCCACCUUACGACAUUCCACCAUUAUGACUUGUCCACCAUUAUGACUUGUUCCUGCCCUGCCCCAACUGAUCAAUCAACCCUGUGACAUUCUUCUCCUGGACAAUGAGUCCCAUCAUCUCUCCACCAUGCACCUUGUGACCCCCUCCUCUGCUGAGGAUAACCACCUUUAACUGUAACUUUCCACGCCUACCCAAGCCCUAUAAAGCUGCCCCUCUCCUAUCUCCCUUCACUGACUCUCUUUUCGGACUCAGCCCACUUGCACCCAAGUGAAUUAACAGCCUUGUUGCUCACACAAAGCCUGAUUGGGUGUCUUCUAUACGGACACGCGUGACAGGAACCUCAACCCAAAGGCAGUCUGAUGAGGUGUCUAAGAUAAAAGUAGCGGCACAAAGGCUUUUGUAAA